AUGUCUAAGAUAAACAGAACUUUCAUAUUACAAGUUAAUCCAAAAAUUUUCUAAAAACCAUAUUAAGAUCCGCCCAGAGUCAUCCACAAUGUUAGUUCCAUAAUUUUGCAGUUCCCUAAAAUCCUCUCUAUACAUGUUCUGGUAAUUCCUUGCUCUGAUGCCUGCUACGCAGAUCAAAAGGAUAUCCCAUAUCAACCACUUGAUGCUGUGAUUCUCUUCAAGGCUGAUGAUCAUCAAUUUCAGACAAACAGUUAUAAAUUACCAUUCUCACCGAGGACCAGAUGAACGUGGUUUUCCCUUCAUGGAGUUCAAGUGUUGGGUCACGAAGAUGACCCCCAUCACAAUUAAAAGGCAGCCAACCAGUGUGCUGAAGAAGAGGGCACCAGGUGUCCUUGUCUGCACAAAGCCAUAUACCCCAUUUGAUGUCACAACAAUAAGGUCAGUAAGCCCAUCAUUUGAGAAGUCCUCGCAGAUCAAGGCAUGGGAGGGUGGUGCAGGAAGGUCGAUUGCUGUUUGUAUGCUUCCUCUGGCAGAUAUCACUACUGCCUCUUGAUCUCCUGCCGCAAGAAUCAUUUGUUGGUUGUCAUGCAAUCGCAAAGAAAAUGCCUUCAGCGUUGGGACAACCAUGCCACCUUCCAUCAUCCCUGAUGGAGAAGGAAGAUUUGACCAUGUAGCCUCUGUCAAGAGUUGCCAUUGCCAGAUGGCAUCAUGGCCAUGUAAGCCAGGAGAGUAUGCAGUGACCUCCCCGCGAUUUGUCAAGAAGAUAACAUCACCAUGACUCCCCUUGCGAUGCUUAUGACCAUCACUUCUUGGGAUGAGAAUAGGUGUUGCUACCUCUAAAGAAGAUACAUCAGAUGUACGGCCAAAAUUUC
rnacentral:misc_RNA from 1 species